UCCGGUUUAUCACCGGCAGUCACCUUAGAGUGCCCAACUGAAUGCUGGCAACUAAGAUCAAGGGUUGCGCUCGUUGCGGGACUUAACCCAACAUCUCACGACACGAGCUGACGACAACCAUGCACCACCUGUCACCGAUGCCCCCGAAGGGGAAACUCUGUCUCCAGAGCGGUCAUCGGGAUGUCAAGACCUGGUAAGGUUCUUCGCGUUGCUUCGAAUUAAACCACAUGCUCCACCGCUUGUGCGGGCCCCCGUCAAUUCCUUUGAGUUUCAGCCUUGCGGCCGUACUCCCCAGGCGGAGUGCUUAAUGUGUUAACGUCGGCACUAAGGGCAUCGAAACCCCUAACACCUAGCACUCAUCGUUUACGGCGUGGACUAC
rnacentral:misc_RNA from 1 species